UACGGAGGGUGCAAGCGUUAUCCGGAUUCACUGGGUUUAAAGGGUGCGUAGGUGGGCAGGUAAGUCAGUGGUGAAAUCUCCGGGCUUAACCCGGAAACUGCCAUUGAUACUAUCUGUCUUGAAUACCGUGGAGGUGAGCGGAAUAUGUCAUGUAGCGGUGAAAUGCUUGGAUAUGACAUAGAACACCAAUUGCGAAGGCAGCUCACUACACGAAUAUUGACACUGAGGCACGAAAGCGUGGGGAUCAAACAGG
rnacentral:rRNA from 1 species